rnacentral:rRNA from 1 species
GAGUUUGAUCCUGGCUCAGGAUGAACGCUGGCGGCGUGCUUAACACAUGCAAGUCGAACGAAGCGCCUUAUUUGAUUUUCUUCGGAACUGAAGAUUUGGUGACUGAGUGGCGGACGGGUGAGUAACGCGUGGGUAACCUGCCCUGUACAGGGGGAUAACAAUCAGAAAUGACUGCUAAUACCGCAUAAGACCACAGCACCGCAUGGUGCAGGGGUAAAAACUCCGGUGGUACAGGAUGGACCCGCGUCUGAUUAGCUGGUUGGUGAGGUAACGGCUCACCAAGGCGACGAUCAGUAGCCGGCUUGAGAGAGUGAACGGCCACAUUGGGACUGAGACACGGCCCAAACUCCUACGGGAGGCAGCAGUGGGGAAUAUUGCACAAUGGGGGAAACCCUGAUGCAGCAACGCCGCGU